rnacentral:rRNA from 1 species
AUACGGAGGGUGCAAGCGUUACUCGGAAUCACUGGGCGUAAAGCGCGCGCAGGCGGCUAUUUAAGUUGGAUGUGAAAGCCUACGGCUCAACCGUAGAACUGCAUCCAAAACUAUUUAGCUAGAGUGUGGGAGAGGAAGAUGGAAUUAGUUGUGUAGGGGUAAAAUCCGUAGAGAUAACUAGGAAUACCAAAAGCGAAGGCAAUCUUCUGGAACACUACUGACGCUGAGGUGCGAAAGCGUGGGUAGCAAACAGGAGUAGAAACCCCAGUAGUCC